AGACGUCUACAUUAGAUACCCCUGUAGUCCCAGCCCUAAACGAUGCGCGCUAGGUGUAUCGGUGACCACGAGUCACCGAGGUGCCGAAGGGAAACCGUGAAACGUGCCGCCUGGGAAGUACGGUCGCAAGGCUGAAACUUAAAGGAAUUGGCGGGGAGCACCACAACGGGUGGAGCCUGCGGUUUAAUUGGACUCAACGCCGGGAAGCUCACCGGAUAAGACAGCGGAAUGAUUGCCGGGCUGAAGACCCUGCAUGACCAGCUG
rnacentral:rRNA from 1 species